AUGGCGGAAGUGGCUUUGGCUAUAGCUGGCUUAAGAUUAGCCGCGUCACCGGUCUUGAAGAAACUCCUUGCUAAUGCUUCAAUGUACCUUGGAGUGGACAUGGCACUUGAGCUCCAUGAACUGGAGACCACUAUCUUGCCACAGUUUGAGCUAUUGAUUGAUGCUGCAAACAAGGGAAACUGUAAGCCCAAGUUGGACAAAUGGCUCCAGGAACUCAAAGAAGGCUUGUACCUGGCUGAAGACUUGCUGGAUGAGCACGAGUACAACCUCCUCAAGCGCAAAGCAAAGGGGAAGGAUUUCUUGCCAGUUAAUGCCUCCUCCAUUAGCAACAUUUUUAUGAAGCCUCUGCGGUCUGCAUCAAGCAGGCUGUCCAAUUUGAGCUCCGAGAAUAGAAAUCUAAUUCGCCAUUUGAAUGAACUGAAGGCUACCCUUGCGAGAGCCAAAGACUUUCGUCAACUGCUCUGCUUGCCAAUUGAUUAUAAUGCAGAGAGCCCCACCAUACCAUCCACUACUGUUCCUGAGACCACAUCAAUACCUCCUCCAAAAGUGAUUGGUCGUGAUAAGGAUAGCGAUCAUAUAAUAUGUUGUCUUACCGAGAGAACUACUACUGAGUCUAGUACAACUAUGUACUCGGGUUUGGCCAUUGUUGGAGCUGGAGGCAUGGGAAAGUCCACCUUAGCACAACUUGUUUACAAUGAUGAGAGAGUAAAAAAAUGUUUUGAUGUGAGAAUGUGGGUAAGCAUCUCACGGAAACUUGAUGUCCGCCGUCAUACACGGGAGAUCAUCGAGUCCGCCUCUCAGGGGGAAUGCCCACACAUUGAGAACCUUGAUACUCUGCAGUGCAAGUUGACUUACAUACUUCAAGAAUCAAGGAAAUUCCUGCUUGUGUUGGAUGAUGUUUGGUUUGAACCUGGCAGUGAGAGGGAGUGGGAUCAACUGUUAGCUCCCCUUGUUUCCCAACAGAGCGGAAGCAAAGUUUUGGUAACUUCUCGACGGGAUACAUUUCCAGCUGCUCUUUGUUGUGCAGAAGUGUGUCCUUUGGAAAACAUGGAAGAUGCUCACUUCUUGGCACUCUUCAAACACCAUGCAUUCUCUGGACGAGAAAUAAAAAAUCUGCAGCUGUGUGAAAGGCUGAAAUUUUUUGCAGAGAAAAUUGUUAAAAGGCUUGGACAAUCUCCUUUGGCGGUAAAAGUUGUGGGUUCCCAGUUGAAAGGGAAAACUAAUAUGACUGCAUGGAAGGAUGCUCUAAUUAUGAAGAUUUACAAACUAAGCGAGCCCAUGAGUGCUCUUUUUUGGAGUUAUGAGAAGUUAGAUCCAUGUCUGCAGAGGUGCUUCCUAUAUUGCAGCUUGUUUCCAAAAGGCCAUAAGUAUGACAUUGAUGAGCUGGUUCAUCUUUGGAUGGCAGAGGGCCUUGUUGAUUUGUGCAACCAAAACAAGAGAGCUGAAGACAUUGGCGAGGAUUGCUUCAAGGAAAUGAUCUCUAUUUCGUUCUUUCAACAACGUUACGAGAAAUACAAGCCCAUGUACUUUGUAAUGCAUGAUCUCCUUCAUGAUCUAGCAGAAUCACUCUCCAAAGAAGACUACUUCAGAUUAGAAGAUGAUAUGGUGACAGAAAUACCAUCUACUGUUCGACAUCUAUCUGUUCGUGUUGAUAGUAUGACGCAACACAAGCAAAGCAUCUGCAAGCUACAUCAUUUACGCACUAUUAUCUGCAUAGACCCCUUGAUGGAUGAUGUAAGUGACCUUUUUAAUCAGAUACUACAGAAUUUGAAUAAGUUGCGUGUAUUAUCUUUGUUAGCUUACAACACGAGCAAGUUGCCAGAAUCUGUUGGUGAGUUGAAGCACCUUCGGUAUUUGAACAUCGACAGAACACUGAUUUCUGAAUUGCCAAGAUCACUGUGUACUCUUUACCACUUGCAGUUACUUCUGUUUAAUAGUAAAGUUAAGAGUUUGCCUGAUAAAUUCUGCCAUUUAAGGAACUUGCGACAUCUUGAACAGUUGUUCAUAACAGUUCAAAUUCCUUAUGUUGGCAAGCUGACUUCACUUCAACAACUUAGGAAUUUUUCUGCGCAAAAGGAAAAGGGGUAUGAGCUGCAAGAGCUGAGAGACAUGAAUGAGAUUCGUGAUAGUUUAUUUAUAACAAAUCUUGAGAAUGUCACUGGGAAGGAUCAAGCCAUAGAAUCAAAGCUGCAUCAGAAAAGUCAUCUUGGCCGGUUGAUACUUCAAUGGAGUUGCAAAAAUAACAUGAAUGCAGAGGAUAGUUCACAUUUAGAGAUUCUAGAAGGCCUGAUACCAUCACCUCAUCUUAGGGAUCUUACAAUUGAGGGUUACAAAUCUUCAAAAUAUCCAGGCUGGUUACUUGAUGGUUCGUAUUUUGAGAAUUUGGAACAUCUAAGCUUUGUUAAUUGUAGCGCAUUACAAAGCCUGCCAACCAAUAAUGGGCUAUUUGGGAAUUGCUCUUCACUUGUCCUCCGCAAUGUGCCAAACCUGAACGCAUUACCUCAUCUUCCACUAGCACUUGAAGUGUUAAAAGUAAGCAAAUGUCCAUUGCUUAUAUUUAUUUCCAAAGAUGAUCAGAGAGAGAGUAUCAUGAGAACAUACCACUUGGCAUCACAACUUGGUUUAAUCUGGGAGGUAGAUUCUGGAUCAGAUAUUAUGAAACUACUCUCAUCGGAACAUUCAUUUCUGAAGCAGAUGAUGAGGUUGAUGCAAGCUAGCAUGUCACAUGUGAAACACCUUGAAAGUGCUCUAGAAAGAAAGGAUGAUGAAGUAUUGAUAAAAGAGGAUAUCAUCAAGGCAUGGAUAUACUGUCAUGAGCAGAGGAUGAGACUCAUGUAUGGAAGGAGCAUUGGGCCGCCACUGGUUCUACCAUCAGGGCUUCGUUCACUUCAACUUUCUUCAUGUAGUAUUACAGAUGGAGCUUUAGCUGUUUGUCUUGAUGGUCUAGCUUCACUGCAAUGUUUGUUCUUGUACGAGAUUAUGACUUUAACUACACUUCCUUCAGAAGAGGUCUUCCAACAUUUGACGAAAUUGGAAAUGUUGUCCAUUGAACAUUGCUGGUGUCUCAGGUCAUUAGGGGGCUUACGAGCUUCUACCUCUGUUUCGGAUGUUGGGAUGGUUUCAUGCCCUUCUUUACAGUUGGCACGCGGAGCAGAAUGUUUGCCAUCAUCCCUUCAGAGCCUCAGUAUAGACAAUUGUGUGAUUGCAGCUGACUUCCUCUGUACUGACUGGCCACACAUGAAUAAUAUUCGUAUAACCAAUUGCAGAAGCACUGCAUGCUUGUCUGUUGGUGGUCUCAACUCUGUUAAAACAUUCUCACUGUAUCACUUGCCAGAUUUGUGUAUCCUCGAAGGAUUGUCUUCCCUGCAACUUCACCACGUACGUUUGGUUGAUGUUCCGAAACUCACUGCCGAGUGCAUCUCACAGUUUCGCGUCCAGGACAAACUCUGUGUUAGUAGUCCUGUGGUACUCAACGACAUGCUCUCGGCUGAAGGUUUUGCAGUCCCAACAUUUCUCGCUCUUGAAGGAUGCAACGAGUCAUUCAUUUCAUUUGAAAAAUCUGCAAAUGUCACAUCUGUCCAGAACCUGAGAUUUGAAGAUUGUCAAAUGAUGUCCCUGCCAACUAGUCUGACGUGCUUCUCCAAUCUGAAAAAUCUUGUCAUCUUUGGCUGCCCCAACAUAUCAUCUUUACCGGACCUGCCAUCCUCCCUCCAGCGCAUAUGCAUUUGGGGUGGUUGUGAGCUCUUGAAGGAGAGCUGCCGAGCACCUGAUGGAGAAAGUUGGCCAAAGAUCGCGCAUAUCCGCUGGAAGGAUUUAUAA
rnacentral:rRNA from 1 species